UCGGACGUGGUGUAGUGCAACACGGCCUCUCUUCUUGUGGGUUGAAGCAGUGUACGGAGGCAAUCCCGGGUUCGACUCCCGGCGUCCGAA